GCUCUAUUUCCACUGCCUCCACAAGCACCAAGAUUACAGGCAAGUGCUACUGUGCUGUCUUUUUAUAUAGUUGCUACACAUCCCCACUCAAGUCUUUAUGCUUUUGUGGUACUUUACUGACUGCGCUAUCCUUACAGACUCAAAAAAAAAAAAAAACUAUUUUUAUAGACUUGGCUCUCCUGGUAGAGAAUGUUUUAAAUGUUUCCUAAAAAAGGUUACUAUUUCUGGGAAUUCUUAGGGAGAAAAUAGUUUAUUUGGCUUUCACAUAUAAAAUGUGAAAUGGUCAUCAUGUAAAUGGUCAUCAUGAGAAGACAGAAACUCUACAGGAAGACCAACAGAGUCAUCUAUCCUGGACUCCUGGAAGUUCCCAGAGACUGAGUCAUCACCAAAGCCUGAGCAUGGGCUGGACAUAGGCGCCCUGUACACACAUAGAGCAGAUCUUGGUCUUCAUGUGAGUCUCCCAACAACAGAAGCAGGGAUGGUCCCUGAGUCUGUUGCUUGCCUGCCUUUGGAUACCAUUCCCCUAAAUGGCUGACCUUGUCUGGCCUCAGUGAGAAAGAAUGCACCUAGGCCUGCAGUGACUUGAUGUGAGGGUUUGGGGUGGGGGAACGAUGAGAACUAAUACACAGAGGAGAGUGCCCCCUUCACAAAGGAGAGGAGUGGAAUGAGGCGAUACUGGUAGGAGGGGGGCUGAUAUCAGGAUAUAAAGUGAAUAAAUUAAUAAAUUUAAUUAAAAAGAAGUCAGGUCAAACAGGGAGGAUUAUAGAAAUAUAGGGGCAAGAACUGAUGCAAAGGCCAUGAGGGAUGCUGCUUACUGACUUUCUCCCCAUGGCUUGUUCAGACUUUUCUUACAGAACCCAAGACCACCAACCCAGAGAUGGCACCUCCUAAAAUGAUCCCUCUGCACCCAAUCAGUUAAUAAGAAAAUGCCCUACAGCUGGAUGCAAUUUGCCAGAUGGAACAUAUUAUAAAUUGAGGUUCCCUCCUUUCAGAUAAAUGUAGCUUUUGUCAUAUUAAUAUUAAAUUAUCCAACACCAUUUCAAAGCUACUGCUGUACUUCCUACUUUACAAAUUUCUCCUCUUCUUGCUUUACCACUACCUGCUUAUAGUCACCAAAUCAGAUGAUAAUAGAAAGUACAUUCCAUAUAUACAGUGCAUUGACUGUGUGAACAGGCUCAGAAAGAGGAAAAUAUUUUUAGGUAUAGUGGCUCCUACUUAGAACUGUUGAAGACGUGCUCUGAAGAAGACAGUAUAAGGUUACUUGUGCAGUAUGACACCCAGGGUUGCAAAACGAAACACAGAGUCUAUUUCCCUAAGAAUUGAGAAAGUUUGCUAAAAUAUUUCAAUCUUAAAUGCAAUGAAUGAAGAUGACAUCAGUGAAUGCGAUCGAUCUUUUGCUGGGUAGGAGGUCUCCCAUGAAUUGUCACUUGAGAAAUUAAAACAAUAUAUUUCACCAAAACCCAACCAAAACAACACACAGGAAAAAACCCUCUGGCUUUCCAGCUUCGGCAUCCCUUCUGGUAGGUGGGACCCUCUGGCUUUCCAGCUUCGGCAUCCCUCUGGUAGGUGGGACCCUCUGGCUUCCCAGCUUCAGCAUCCCUUCUGGUAGGUGGGACCCUCUGGCUUUCCAGCUUCGGCAUCCCCUCUGGUAGGUGGGGUCCUGUGGUCCUGUGACAGCCUAGUCACAUUUCUGUCAGCCUCUUCGUUUUCACCUCUCUUGGUUUGGUGUUACAUGGCCUGUGAAACGACACCUUAAAAGCUCCUUGCCUUCCUUUCUAAGCUCAAAGGCCAUCCUGAAGAGACCUCAGCCUAUGACAGUCAGGAAGAACUGUGAGAAACUAGCACAUGCAUAGUAGUGUGCCUCCUUUUUACUGGAAACCAUGCUACUCUUUAAAAAAGGAACAUUUUGUGAUUAAUUUGUCCCUAAUAUUUACAAUUAUCUCUGAGUGCAUACAAUCAUGACAUUCUAGAUGAUCAAGUUCAGUUGUGAAAAAGAGUCACUAGAGAGACAGCAUAUUACUCUAAGAUGCCACAUAUAUAUAUGUUUCAGAUUUUUAAAUCACUGCCUUAUUUGGGCUACAAUCAUUCCUGGAUCAACCAUUUUUUUUUCCAAACCUUGAUCAUUACUUUAUCCUUACUGAUGAAAUUGUUUUUGUAUUUCUUUUCUAGAAACGGCUUUCAACAUCUGCUUUGCAUUAGAGUUUGUCUAUGAAAAAUAAAUCUUGCAUUACUUAAAUUCUAACCCUCUUCUAUUCAGUAUGCUAUAUACUUUUAUUAAUUUCUGUUGCUUGGGAUAUUACAGUAGCAACUCAACUAUCAAUUUCAUUAGAGUGGGAAAGAAUCAGGCUGCUGUUUCUAUUGCUUCGCUGGGUGAUCACUUUUCUGAUCUGUGUGCUGGUUUUUUCACAACUCAAUUCAGCCUAUUAAAUAGUAAUUGAGACAUCUGGAGUGCAGGAUUCAUGGACAGGUUAAACAAUACACAUGUGAUGCCUACUAGCGCCUUUAAGGUUAUCAUAGUCGAAAAUAUCAAAAUAUGUUUUGACGAAAUGCCACCAAACUGUAGAAUAUAGAGCUUUCUACACUUCAUAUUUUUGACUCUGUUUGUCAUCUGUAGUGCUUAGGGUAUAAGGGAAUUUUCUUGGAUGCAUGUGUGCUGAUAGAAUGACAGGGUUCAUCAGGACAGUAUAUGAGGUGUGAGAGACCUGGCUCCUCCCUUCUUGUUCCUCACUGUUCUUUGUAUCAAGAAUGUACAGAGCAAUGAGAGAUCAAAUACAACAUGGAACUGAAAUCACAAACCUUCCUAGUCAAUGGUUUCAAAUAGAGAUAUCCUGUUAUUAAAAAUCAAGAAAACAAUUAUGUCAUUUCUUACUUUUAUACAGUGCUAGUAAAGCUGAGAAUAGAAAAGUAUAGAUAAGCCUCUGAUGUCUCAGGAUGCAGAUUUACACGAAUAGAAUUUUUAGCAAAAUGGAACCUGUACAUCUUUCACUUUCUCUUAAGUCAAAGUCUUAAAAAUGGAAAAAUCUUCCUCUGAUAUUAGAAAACUGCUUUAUAAAAAUUGACCUCAGUUAUUUGUUUACUUCUGUCUAGGAUAAUUUAUAUAUGGAGAGCUUGUGUUCUAACAGAAUCUCAUCAUUAGUCAUAACAGGACAUAACAUAUUUCUCGGCUUGAAUUUUUUUCUGAGAAUCCUUGGGCUGGGUCAAUAACAUUUUUGUUCAUCACUUCAGGGGUUCAGUUUAUAUGUUUAGAUUUAAUUUAGAGUUUUCAAUGGGGUAGACUUUAGAGUACAUAACUAAAUUUGUGAUGCAUUUAAAAUUUAUUUUCUUCUGUUCUGUGCGUGAUGUUUCAAAACGAAACAAAACAUUCUGUCCAGCCUUCAGCAGGAUGCUCUACUUACUUCUGUAUUUGACCUAUGUCCUCAAUUCAUAUUUAAAAUUUGCCACAAUUGAGUCUGCUCCUUUCAUCCUGUGUUUCUAAGUUAUCUACAAUGGUAGAGGUUGGUUUGAGGAAGUACAUGGAGAAAGAAGAGAAUUUUGCUUAAAAGUAGUAUAAGUAAAUUUUGACAAAAUCAAACCACAAGCAAAUUAUCAAUUGGGUAUUUUUCUGUUAUGGUAGCAUAUAAUGAACUACCUUUUAUUGUAUAUUACAUUACAAAUUAAUUAUAGUAAUUAAAUAACUAAAUACAUUAAAUGUGGCAGUCAACAUCUAUUUACCACUAACCAGUGUGUACUACUGAACACCCCUGAUUCCAGAGGACAGUUCAAAACUCAUAUUUACAUGUAUGCCUUUUGUUGAAUUUAAUAGGUGACAAACAGAAAGAACUGAUUGUUGAAAAGAGACUUGUGAGCAGGAAAGGAACAGCAAAGGGGGAGAGAGCAAAGAGAGAUUAGUGGAGUCAUCAGAAUAUAUUAUAAACAUAUUUAAAAUGUUCAAAUAUCAAUAAAAAUAUUAUUAAAACCAUAUAUGUGACUUGCUUGAUGUUAUGAAAUGUACAAUGAAAUGUGGUGUGUGUGUGUGCGUGCGUGUGUGUGUGUGUGUGUGUGUGUGUGUGCGUGAGCAUGUGCAUAUAUGUGCAUCAGGUGUAUUUUCAAAUGAGGGGCAGUUACUAUGAAAAGAUUGAAUAGUAAAUUAAAUAGAGGGAAGAUAUAUUUGCAUUUUAUUUAGGAUGAUCAGUGAUUGUACUAUGAGUUUUAAAAUUAGCAUGAAUGUAAAUGUCACAGGAUAAUUAGCUGCUAGGUUACUUACAGAAUAAUUAUUUUAAGAAAAGUAAUAAAAACAAAAAUCCUGAUGUAGAAACAUCCUUGACUUUUGUUAUGGUCCAUUUACAAGGGCAGUAGUAUUUCAGUAACAAGAGGCACACGAAACACAAAGGAUCCUGAAUCAAACAUGCCUUUGGGCAUCAUAAGAUUUAAAAUUUUACUUUGAAGGUAGGGAACAUUUGUCAUUUUAAAUAGAGAAAAAUCCAAUGAAUGGUAAGUCACUGGUAGUAGCUGAAGAGUGAAAUAAAGAGAAAGCAGUGGGAAUAGAGUGAGGAGAACAGAAGGGAAAAAAACAGAAAGUGAAACAUGAUUCAUGGACGCAAGCAGAACGAUACAUUUGGAUGCUACAUCCUGUGCACAAGGCCUUGGGAAGAAUUGUGUCAAUGCUGUACAAUGUUUGAAGGCUCUUUAUGGAUUUACUCCUGACAUUUCUAUGCUACUACAUUGCCCCAAACUUAGUUUAGUGCCUUUGCCUAGUUAUAGGAGGGUAAGCAAUAUACCAUUUACCCAACUAUUCUUUCUAUCAUC
rnacentral:lncRNA from 1 species